rnacentral:misc_RNA from 1 species
GAAAAAUAAAAUGUUUAACAAAAUCCCAUCAACUAACCGUACAUUUCAACCGUUAAGAUUUAUCUACAAAUAUCUUAUAACUAUGGUACUUAAUUAGGAAUAUAAAUUCUAUCUAUAUAGAAUAUAAAACCUACUAAAUAAGAAUAUAUAAAAUCCAUAUUGACUCUCCAUAACACUCUCUCUUAAAAUGGAAUCUCAUUAAUUCCAACAGUCCAAAUGACAAUUAGCCUGUGGGUAUCUAAUCAGAGUACAAAACAAAUGUCCUAUGACAAAACAAUAGCAGGUAACUUGGAAAUGUCCUAUGACAAAACAAUAGCAGGUAACUUGG